ensembl:miRNA
GUUUACUCCCAGAGUGCCAGGCUGUUUCCUGUCCCCUCCCUAGGGGAACCCAGGUGGGGGCAGCAGAGGACCUGGGCCUGGAC